rnacentral:lncRNA from 1 species
UUUAAUUGCACUUUUUUUUACCUGCACUUGGCUCCACUUGAAGCAAACAAAGAUGUAUUGUAGAGUUAUCAAUGUAUUAAUCACCAAACUAUCAUUUUUAUUUUGUUUCUUUUUGUCAGUGUUAUCCUCCUUCCUGCUGUCUAAAUUAGCAGAUUUUAUUUCUGAAGUCUCAAGUUUACUAGAAGAGUAGAAAAAAAUUGAUCUUAUCUCCCCACCAUCACCCUUCUCUUUAGUGUGGAAUAUACACACCAUCCACGUUACACUCCUGCAUUAAGAGAGAGAUAUUGUUGAGUCUGUUAUUAUACAGCAAUUUUUGUAAACACGGUUGCAUUAGUGGAAGCACAGACAUUCUGGUAGAUUGAGGAUAAUGUGUUUACAAUUUGAAAAACUCAAGGCAGUUUGUCAACAGAGAUCUUUGCAUACUGUGAAUUUGAGAUACAAUCUAUGAAAAGAGUCAUACUCUGUUUUUUUCAUCUGCUGCUAUAAGAACACAAUGGAUAGGAGCCAUACUAAGGUCUAAAAUUCAACACUGUUCUAGUACACAUACAAAAAGACUCCCCUCCCUACCCCUGCUUCAUCCUACAGCUCUCUUUAAACCUACUCUGGAAGAUUCCCAGUCCCUUUCAGUAGGUUUUGAGGGUGGGGAGAAGGGAGAUCCCCCUGAUUCCGGUGUCUGAAACAGUUCCAUUGGUUCAGACCUGGGCAAAAUGUGGCCUUCCAGAUGUUGCUGAACUGCAAAUCCCAACACUCCUCAUUAUUGGCUGUGUGGGCUAGGAUUGCUGGGAGUUGCAGUUCAGCAACUUCUGGAAGGCCGCAUUUUGCCCAGGUCUGCUAGUUGAAGUACCCCUUUGAUGCCACAAAGUGGACUUUGUUAUAACUUACUUCACAUUGAUUUCUGUAGGAACUACAUGCAGAUAACAUUGUCUGGAUCCAACCCACUAUAAAAGCAUACACACAAAUUCCAAAAUAUUUCUCAGCAAUAGGAUUGCCUCUCUUUUCUUAUGUUGUUUAUACAUUACGGGUUGUUUAUACGUUAUACAACCCAAUCUUGCUCUUAAAAAAGAACUCACUCAGGUCAAUGGAAAAGUUAAGCUAUCUGCCAAUCGUAGCUUUAAAAAGUUAAAUUUUUGCACUAUAUUUCCCAGAAUCCAUCAAACAGA